ACACAUUCACAACUACCAGAGCCAGUUGCAUGAAUAAUAGCAUAAGUAUACAGGGUACCUUUGUUCCUUCAAUAAGGGGGACUUUUUACUUUUGCCUCCUUAAGUACAUCAGCAUCCUAAUCCAAAUACUUUGACAAGAUCAUAUUUAAGUUCACUGACAACUUUGUCCCCAUCCCCAAAUUUUUCCAGGAAAGGAACUAGAACAUAAUCGAGGAACACAGACUAAACUUAAAACAUGACUUUUGUCCGAUGAAAACAUGCUGUUGGCAGCAGUUGCAAGUCGAUGGUUAUGAAACAGAGCAUUACCUUAGUCUUAUAAUUUACUGCCUGAAAUGAGCUAAUGUAAUAAUAUGACAGCAUGUGAUCUCGUAAAUUGGAACAGCAUCUGAAAGAAACAUCUGACCUCAUAAUAAAAUGCAUAUGCAUGACAACAUAGUUGGUAAAGAAAAAAUAUCCAACUAAGAAAGAUGAUGGAAAUUGUGGCACAAAUUCAGUUUAAUGUUUGACACAACGGUCCAGUACCAAAGACUUAGGGGUAUUGCAAAAUAUUAAGAUAAUGGUAAGUUGGUAACUGGCUUUUCUUCUUUUUGACAACACGAGGAUUGAUGGUUUGAUAUAGGCUCCUAAUGGUUCAUGUAUCAUCACUUACUGACAUCCCAAACAUAUGCAGAAAUAUGCCGAUAUGGCCAUAGACCUACAACUAUCUCCUGCUAUGGAUGUUUGGCUGAACUGAAUAAAUUCAUGUCGUAUAUGCUGAACAGUUUACAACAUGUCCUUGUACAAGCUUACUUGUUGUGACACUUUUUUUUGGUCCUAAGUUCCUAGCUUUUACAGAGAGAUGCCUCCUAGAGUUACUAAAGUGCAUUCUUCUAGAGCUCAUGAUAAUAUAGUCAUGUUGGGACUCGUGGUCAAAAAGUAACAAAAACAUCUUAAGACCUUAAUUGCAUUCCAAACAUGGCUUUACAGCUUGCUUGACAUCAUCAAUAAUUUUGUCCAGACAAUAAGCUUGGGCGUGCAAAAGCAGAAAACUUACCGAUUGACCGUGACAUUGCGAGAAUACCAGAGACACGAUAACC
rnacentral:lncRNA from 1 species